rnacentral:rRNA from 1 species
CCUACGGGUGGCAGCAGUGGGGAAUAUUGGGCAAUGGGCGCAAGCCUGACCCAGCAACGCCGCGUGAAGGAAGAAGGCUUUCGGGUUGUAAACUUCUUUUCUCAGGGACGAAGAAAGUGACGGUACCUGAGGAAUAAGCCACGGCUAACUACGUGCCAGCAGCCGCGGUAAUACGUAGGUGGCAAGCGUUAUCCGGAUUUACUGGGUGUAAAGGGCGUGUAGGCGGGACUGCAAGUCAGAUGUGAAAACCACGGGCUCAACCUGUGGCCUGCAUUUGAAACUGUAGUUCUUGAGUACUGGAGAGGUAAGAGGAAUUCCUAGUGUAGCGGUGAAAUGCGUAGAUAUUAGGAGGAACACCAGUGGCGAAGGCGUCUUACUGGACCGAAACUGACGUUGAGGCUCGAAAGCGUGGGGAGCAAACAGGAUUAGAUACCCCAGUAGUC